UGAAAUAAAGGAUUUUAAUGGAUUUCCCUUCUUCCUCUUUGUUUCUGUCAGUCAGUUCUCUUAAUGAAAUCAGUUACAGAAUCAUUCAUUGAUUUGAAAUGUUGCCCAUUUAUGUUUCAGAAAUUUGCUCCUUUCAAGACUUGGAUCUCUCAAAAUAUAGUCAUUAUCAACAUUAAGACCUUGGAAAAAAAGAAUAGUUGGCAAUUGUUUAAAUUUACAUAUGGACAUGAAUGACAGUGAAACCAUAACAUGAGAAGCCACCAUAAAGAAAAUCUACAGACUGAUGACAUCAGCAAUUUUUCCUUUAAGCUGGACCUAGAGGUGGAUUUUUACUUACAAAAAGAAGAAGGAAAGAAAGAAAGAGAGAGAGAGAGAGGGAAACAAAAGAAUUAUGAA
rnacentral:lncRNA from 1 species